rnacentral:rRNA from 1 species
UGAAACUGGGAGUCUUGAGGGCAGGAGAGGAAAGUGGAAUUCCUGGUGUAGCGGUGAAAUGCGUAGAAAUCAGGAGGAACACCGGUGGCGAAGGCGACUGACUGGACUGACCCUGACGCUG